GACUCUCGGCAACAGAUAUCUCGGCUGUCGCAUAAAUGAAGAACGUAGCGAAAUGGGAUACCUGGUGUGAAUUGCAGAAUCCCGCGAACCAUCGAGUCUUUGAACGCAAGUUUCGCCCGAGGCCACUCGGUCGAGGGCACGCCUACCUGGGCGUCA
rnacentral:rRNA from 1 species